UGAGUCAGCAACAUAUCCCAUG
rnacentral:miRNA from 1 species